AUAUUUUUUGGUUGUCUAUUUUUUAUUUUUUGCGAGACAAAUAUAUACUUAUAUCAGGCUCUUUUUUUUUCAUCCAACCCAUUCAAUUAGGCCCAAGAGUCUGAUUCACUCCUUCCUUUUCGCUCAACUCGGCCCAGCUUAGACACACACCCGGUCCGUUGUUCUCUCCUGCCUCGUCCCGUCGUUGCUUCGUCGUCUCGGAGUCGGAGGGCAUUGCUUCAACAGGUGGGCGGCGCGAGCGCCGGGAGAUGGAUGGCGGCAACGGAUGUUGCUCGUCCUCUGGAUCUAGGGCGGCCCUCGUGACCACCCACGCCGCCCAUCGCGGCCACAGCCGGCCGGCCUGUCUUGGAACCUGAAGCCACCCAGGCCGUUCCCAUAGAACUAGGCCUCCCGCCUAGGCUAGCCAACACCAAAGUCCGUUGUCCGCCCUGCUAACUGCUGCUGCUAGCUUCGUGCCUCGGGUCUGGUGCCAUGCCGCUGCAUUUGGGGUUGGUCUUUCUGCCGACGUGUGUCAUUGGCAUGGUAAAUUGGAGUUGAAUCCAAAGCGAAGUUCUUGCGAGGUGCCAAUGGUGUGGAGGUGGUAGCGUAGCUGGCGUGCGGGGCGCGGCUACCGACACUGUCGAGGAGAGCCGGAUCCCAGUGGUGGCAGGGUGAGAUCCUUCAACUGCCCUGCUCAUAGCUGGAUGUACAUCUGCAUCGCCUAUGUUGUAGUAGUACUGCGCCCUGCUUCUUCUGCUUCUGAAUUCUGCCGUUCAUCCUCAUCCUGAGAACCACUAGCGAUCUGCAACAUCCGUCAGGAGGAGGUCUCCACCACGCAGUGCAUGUGCGAUGAUGCACGCGGCUGGCUUGGAUCAAGUUGUGGUGGACGAGCUUGGAUUAAGUUGUGGUGGAGGAGCAGUAUUUGCUUUCCUUACUCUUGAUGGAGACUCUAUUCUGAUUUGGGGGAAGGGAUGAAUAGUUAUGGGAGAGAGUGUGCGUGGGGUGGGGAGCGCGCUGAGGCCUGUGCUGACUUGCUGCUUUCUUUUGGUGCAGAUGAGGGAGUUGUAGUUUGUUGUCUAAUCAAGUAUAAAUAAAUAUAUUUUUGAAAUCA